rnacentral:rRNA from 1 species
UACAGAGGGUGCGAGCGUUGUUCGGAAUACUGGGCGUAAAGCGCGCGCAGGCGGCCUUUUAAGUCUGACGGUGAAAUGCCGGGGCUCAACCCCGUGCCCGCCGCGGAUACUGGGAGGCUGGAGACAUGUAGAGGCAAGCGGAAUUCCGGGUGUAGCGGUGGAAUGCGUAGAGAUCCGGAAGAACACCGGAGGCGAAGGCGGCUUGCUGGGCAUUGUCUGACGCUGAGGCGCGAAAGCGUGGGGGAGCGAACAGG